GAUGAACGCUGGCGGCGUGCCUAAUACAUGCAAGUCGAGCGAACUGAUUAGAAGCUUGCUUCUAUGACGUUAGCGGCGGACUGGUGAGUAACACGUGGGCAACCUGCCUGUAAGACUGGGAUAACUUCGGGAAGCCGAAGCUAAUACCGGAUAGGAUCUUAUCCUUCAUGGGAGAUGAUUGAAAGAUGGUUUCGGCUAUCACUUACAGAUGGGCCCGCGGUGCAUUAGCUAGUUGGUGAGGUAACGGCUCACCAAGGCAACGAUGCAUAGCCGACCUGAGAGGGUGAUCGGCCACACUGGGACUGAGACACGGCCCAGACUCCUACGGGAGGCAGCAGUAGGGAAUCUUCCGCAAUGGACGAAAGUCUGACGGAGCAACGCCGCGUGAGUGAUGAAGGCUUUCGGGUCGUAAAACUCUGUUGUUAGGGAAGAACAGGUACGAGAGUAACUGCUCGUACCUUGACGGUACCUAACCAGAAAGCCACGGCUAACUACGUGCCAGCCGCCGCCGUAAGAC
rnacentral:rRNA from 1 species